GUACUGAGACACGGACCAGACUCCUACGGGAGGCAGCAGUGAGGAAUAUUGGACAAUGGGAGCAAUCCUGAUCCAGCCAUGCCGCGUGCAGGAAGACUGCCCUAUGGGUUGUAAACUGCUUUUAUACAGGAAGAAAAAGGUGUACAUGUACACUGUUGACGGUACUGUAAGAAUAAGGAUCGGCUAACUCCGUGCCAGCAGCCGCGGUAAUACGGAGGAUCCAAGCGUUAUCCGGAAUCAUUGGGUUUAAAGGGUCCGUAGGCGGGAUAAUAAGUCAGUGGUGAAAGUCUGCAGCUCAACUGUAGAAUUGCCAUUGAUACUGUUGUUCUUGAGUUAUUGUGAAGUGGUUAGAAUGAGUAGUGUAGCGGUGAAAUGCAUAGAUAUUACUCAGAAUACCGAUUGCGAAGGCAGAUCACUAACAAUACACUGACGCUGAUGGACGAAAGCGUAGGUAGCGAACAGGAUUAGAUACCCUGGUAGUCUACGCCGUAAACGAUGGUUACUAGCUGUUCGGGUUAAUUGAGACCUGAGUGGCUAAGCGAAAGUGAUAAGUAACCCACCUGGGGAGUACGUUCGCAAGAAUGAAACUCAAAGGAAUUGACGG
rnacentral:rRNA from 1 species